rnacentral:rRNA from 1 species
AUUGAACGCUGGCGGCAGGCCUAACACAUGCAAGUCGAACGAGUGGCGGACGGGUGAGUAAUGUCUGGGAAACUGCCUGAUGGAGGGGGAUAACUACUGGAAACGGUAGCCAAUACCGCAUACCAUCAGAUGUGCCCAGAUGGGAGUAGCUAGUUGGUGGGGUAACGGCUCACCAAGGCGAGGAUCCCUAGCUGGUCUGAGAGGAUGACCAGCCACACUGGAACGGGGACACGGUCCAGACUCCUACGGGAGGCAGCAGUGGGGAAUUUUGCACAAUGGGGGAAAGCCUGAUGCAGCCAUGCCGCGUGUAGGAAGAAGGCCUUCGGGUUGUAAAGUACUUUCAGCGGGAAGGCGUUACCCGCAGAAGAAGCACCGGCUAACUCCGUGCCAGCAGCCGCGGUAAUUC